rnacentral:rRNA from 1 species
UGGGGAAUAUUGCACAAUGGGCGGAAGCCUGAUGCAGCAACGCCGCGUGGGUGAUGAAGGUUUUCGGAUUGUAAAGCCCUGUCUUUUGGGACGAUAAUGACGGUACCAAAGGAGGAAGCCACGGCUAACUACGUGCCAGCAGCCGCGGUAAUACGUAGGUGGCGAGCGUUGUCCGGAUUUACUGGGCGUAAAGGGUGCGUAGGCGGAUAUUUAAGUGGGAUGUGAAAACCCCGGGCUUAACCUGGGGACUGCAUUUCAAACUGGAUAUCUGGAGUGCAGGAGAGGAAAGCGGAAUUCCUAGUGUAGCGGUGAAAUGCGUAGAGAUUAGGAAGAACACCAGUGGCGAAGGCGGCUUUCUGGACUGUAACUGACGCUGAGGCACGAAAGCGUGGGUAGCAAACAGGAUUAGAUACCCUGGUAGUCCACGCCGUAAACGAUGAGUACUAGGUGUAGGAGGUAUCGACCCCUUCUGUGCCGCAGUAAACGCAAUAAGUACUCCGCCUGGGAAGUACGAUCGCAAGAUUAAAAC